rnacentral:tRNA from 1 species
GGGGUUUUGGCCUUCUCUUUUGA